rnacentral:rRNA from 1 species
GUCUUUUUGGUAUUAAUUUAAGGUUUAACCUGCCCAAUGAAAAUUUGAAUGGCCGCGGUAUUUUGACUGUGCUAAGGUAGCAUAAUCAUUAGUUUUUUAAUUGAAAGCUGGAAUGAAGGGUUGGAUGAAAAAUUAACUGUCUCUAAUUAAUUUUAUUAGAAUUUUAUUUUUAAGUUAAAAAGCUUAAAUUUAUUUAAAAGACGAGAAGACCCUAUAGAGUUUAAUAUAUUUAAUUUAUAAAUAUUUAGUAUUUAUUUUUUAUAAUUGUUAUAUAUUUGAUUGGGGUGAUUAAAAAAUUUAAUAAACUUUUUUUAUAAAUUUAUAUUGAUUAAUAAAUUAAUGAUCCAAAAAUUUUGAUUAUAAGAUAAAUUACCUUAGGGAUAACAGCGUAAUUUUAUUAAAGA